UUUUGUGGGGUGCUCGAGUGGCGAACGGGUAAGUAACACGUGAGUAACCUGCCCUUGACUUUGGGAUAACUUCAGGAAACUGGGGCUAAUACCGGAUAGGAGCUCCUGCUGCAUGGUGGGGGUUGGAAAGUUUCGGCGGUUGGGGAUGGACUCGCGGCUUAUCAGCUUGUUGGUGGGGUAGUGGCUUACCAAGGCUUUGACGGGUAGCCGGCCUGAGAGGGUGACCGGCCACAUUGGGACUGAGAUACGGCCCAG
rnacentral:rRNA from 1 species